rnacentral:rRNA from 1 species
ACGCUGGCGGCGUGCCUAAUACAUGCAAGUAGAACGCUGAAGGAGGAGCUUGCUCUUCCGGAUGAGUUGCGAACGGGUGAGUAACGCGUAGGUAACCUGCCUAGUAGUAGGGGAUAACUAUUGGAAACGAUAGCUAAUACCGCAUAACAGUAGAUAUCGCAUGAUAGCUGCUUGAAAGGUGCAAUUGCACCACUACCAGAUGGACCUGCGUUGUAUUAGCUAGUUGGUGAGGUAACGGCUCACCAAGGCAACGAUACAUAGCCGACCUGAGAGGGUGAUCGGCCACACUGGGACUGAGACACGGCCCAGACUCCUACGGGAGGCAGCAGUAGGGAAUCUUCGGCAAUGGACGGAAGUCUGACCGAGCAACGCCGCGUGAGUGAAGAAGGUUUUCGGACCGUAAAGCUCUGUUGUAAGAGAAGAACGAGUGUGAGAGUGGAAAGUUCACACUGUGACGGUAUCUUACCAGAAAGGGACGGCUAACUACGUGCCAGCAGCCGCGGUAAUACGUAGGUCCCGAGCGUUGUCCGGAUUUAUUGGGCGUAAAGCGAGCGCAGGCGGUUAGAUAAGUCUGAAGUUAAAGGCUGUGGCUUAACCAUAGUACGUUUUGGAAACUGUUUAACUUGAGUGCAAGAGGGGAGAGUGGAAUUCCAUGUGUAGCGGUGAAAUGCGUAGAUAUAUGGAGGAACACCGGUGGCGAAAGCGGCUCUCUGGCUUGUAACUGACGCUGAGGCUCGAAAGCGUGGGGAGCAAACAGGAUUAGAUACCCUGGUAGUCCACGCCGUAAACGAUGAGUGCUAGGUGUUAGACCCUUUCCGGGGUUUAGUGCCGUAGCUAACGCAUUAAGCACUCCGCCUGGGGAGUACGACCGCAAGGUUGAAACUCAAAGGAAUUGACGGGGGCCCGCACA